rnacentral:rRNA from 1 species
GACGAACGCUGGCGGCGUGCUUAACACAUGCAAGUCGAACGGAAAGGCCCUGCUUUUGUGGGGUGCUCGAGUGGCGAACGGGUGAGUAACACGUGAGUAACCUGCCCUUGACUUUGGGAUAACUUCAGGAAACUGGGGCUAAUACCGGAUAGGAGCUCCUGCUGCAUGGUGGGGGUUGGAAAGUUUCGGCGGUUGGGGAUGGACUCGCGGCUUAUCAGCUUGUUGGUGGGGUAGUGGCUUACCAAGGCUUUGACGGGUAGCCGGCCUGAGAGGGUGACCGGCCACAUUGGGACUGAGAUACGGCACAGACUCCUACGGGAGGCAGCAGUGGGGAAUAUUGCACAAUGGGCGGAAGCCUGAUGCAGCAACGCCGCGUUCGGGAUGACGGCCUUCGGGUUGUAAACCGCUUUCGCCUGUGACGAAGCGUGAGUGACGGUAAUGGGUAAAGAAGCACCGGCUAACUACGUG